GCUAUCUGUCACCCGGGCGGGGUUCGAACCUGCCGCAGGUUCAGGUCGAGCACAGCGAGACAGCGUUGCUGAAGGCAACGACCCGAAGGGCGAGGCAACGCCGAGUCAUCCUGCACGACCCACCC
rnacentral:sRNA from 1 species